rnacentral:rRNA from 1 species
AUUGAACGCUGGCGGCAUGCCUUACACAUGCAAGUCGAACGGCAGCACGGGGCAACCUGGUGGCGAGUGGCGUACGGGUGAGUAAUGCAUCGGAACGUACCUUUCAGUGGGGGAUAACGUAGCGAAAGUUACGCUAAUACCGCAUAUUCUGUGAGCAGGAAAGCAGGGGAUCGCAAGACCUUGCGCUGAUUGAGCGGCCGAUGUCAGAUUAGCUAGUUGGUGAGGUAGAGGCUCACCAAGGCGACGAUCUGUGGCGGGUCUGCGAGGAUGAUCCGCCACACUGGAACUGGUACACGGUCCAGACUCCUACGGGAGGCAGCAGUGGGGAAUUUUGGACAAUGGGGGCAACCCUGAUCCAGCCAUGCCGCGUGAGUGAAGAAGGCCUUCGGGUUGUAAAGCUCUUGCGGCCGGGAAGAAAUCGCACGGGCUAAUACCCUGUGUGGAUGACGGUACCGGAAUAAGAAGCACCGGCUAACUACGUGCCAGCCGCCGCGGUAAAAC